rnacentral:rRNA from 1 species
UGAGGAAUAUUGGACAAUGGGCGCAAGCCUGAUCCAGCCAUGCCGCGUGCAGGAUGACGGUCCUAUGGAUUGUAAACUGCUUUUGUACAGGAAGAAACAGUUCUACGUGUAGAACCUUGACGGUACUGUAAGAAUAAGGAUCGGCUAACUCCGUGCCAGCAGCCGCGGUAAUACGGAGGAUCCAAGCGUUAUCCGGAAUCAUUGGGUUUAAAGGGUCCGUAGGCGGUUAGAUAAGUCCAGUGGUGAAAGCCCAUCGCUCAACGGUGGAACGGCCAUUGAUACUGUCUGACUUGAAUUAUUAGGAAGUAACUAGAAUAUGUAGUGUAGCGGUGAAAUGCUUAGAGAUUACAUGGAAUACCAAUUGCGAAGGCAGGUUACUACUAAUGGAUUGACGCUGAUGGACGAAAGCGUGGGUAGCGAACAGGAUUAGAUACCCAUGUAGUCCCUGAGCGGGCUGGCAAGGCGCAU